UACAGAGGUCCCAAGCGUUGUUCGGAUUCAUUGGGCGUAAAGGGUGUGUAGGUGGCGCCGUAAGUCGGGUGUGAAAUCUCGGGGCUUAACUCCGAAACUGCAUUCGAUACUGCGGUGCUUGAGGACUGGAGAGGAGACUGGAAUUCAUGGUGUAGCAGUGAAAUGCGUAGAGAUCAUGAGGAAGACCAGUGGCGAAGGCGGGGUCUCUGGACAGUUCCUGACACUGAGGCACGAAAGCUAGGGGGAGCAAACAGG
rnacentral:rRNA from 1 species